rnacentral:rRNA from 1 species
UACGAAGGGUGCAAGCGUUACUCGGAAUUACUGGGCGUAAAGGGUGCGUAGGUGGUUCGUUAAGUCUGAUGUGAAAGCCCUGGGCUCAACCUGGGAAUUGCAUUGGAUACUGGCGGGCUGGAGUGCGGUAGAGGGUAGUGGAAUUCCCGGUGUAGCAGUGAAAUGCGUAGAUAUCGGGAGGAACAUCCGUGGCGAAGGCGACUGCCUGGACCAGCACUGACACUGAGGCACGAAAGCGUGGGGAGCAAACAGG